rnacentral:tRNA from 1 species
UCCCUGAUGGCUGAGUGGUAAAGAAUCUGUCUGCAAUGUGGGAGACCCAGGUUUGAUCCCUGGUUCAGGAA